AGACGUCUACAUUAGAUACCCCCGUAGUCCCAGCCGUAAACUAUGCGCGUUAGGUGUAUCGGUGACCACGAGUCACCGAGGUGCCGAAGGGAAACCGUGAAACGUGCCGCCUGGGAAGUACGGUCGCAAGGCUGAAACUUAAAGGAAUUGGCGGGGAGCACCACAACGGGUGGAGCCUGCGGUUUAAUUGGACUCAACGCCGGGAAGCUCACCGGAUAGGACAGCAGAAUGAUUGCCGGGCUGAAGACCCUGCAUGACUAGCUG
rnacentral:rRNA from 1 species